rnacentral:rRNA from 1 species
UACGAAGGGGGCUAGCGUUGCUCGGAAUUACUGGGCGUAAAGGGCGCGUAGGCGGAUAGUUUAGUCAGAGGUGAAAGCCCAGGGCUCAACCUUGGAACUGCCUUUGAUACUGGCUAUCUUGAGUUCGGGAGAGGUGAGUGGAAUGCCGAGUGUAGAGGUGAAAUUCGUAGGUAUUCGGCGGAACACCAGUGGCGAAGGCGACUCACUGGCCCGAUACUGACGCUGAGGCGCGAAAGCGUGGGGAGCAAACAGG